rnacentral:lncRNA from 1 species
UUUUAUAUAAAGCAAUUAUAUUCUUCCCUGGAGAAGUAGCUUUCUCUGUCCUUUCUUAGCCUGAAGAUGUAAUGACAUUAUCUGAAAAUUGAGAAAUCACUCAAAAAUUACUUAGUCAUCUCUUCAGUGUGGUGGGCUCCCUCUGCCAAGGGUUGGCAGUGUGAGUUCCACAAAACAGCCUUAACAAACCCCUUAACAAAAAUAUUUUGAGAUAUGUCUGUUUCAUUCACCAUCACAGUGUGUCAAAGUUAAAAGGUGAAGGCUUGCAGUCUCAACAUGAAAGUUUAACAACAACUGAGACAGGUGCCAAAUCCAGAGGAUAGUUUAGAGUCUGCUUCAUUUCAGCCCCCAAUUACUGAUGUGGAUUUCCAUUCUUAAGAACCCCAUUUCUAUCAGGUGCUUAAGUUCCUGUUCCUUGUUUGGAAUCUCUGUUGCCUAAACCAAAAUUGCUUAGCCAAACAAUUUAUAUGCAUGUCUGGAAUAGGUGGUCCUAAGAGUGACCAAAUUCUUUGGAUCUGGACCUCAACAUUUUUGCUGCCUUUUCUUGCCUAGUCCAGAUAUCACUUUCAACUUUUCCUGUGCUAUUGUCAUUCUCAGCCUCUUCUUAUUUCUCUGGUUUUAGUUCUCUCAUUUUGAAACCAUCAAUGAUUCUUUAAACAAAGACUAUGUUAUUCCACAUCCUUCCUUUCCUCUCUUCUGCAACUUUUCUGGGAGAAGGUAUUCCAUGUUUCAGGUCUGUUAUCUGUUUCUCCUGUCAUACAUUAACAAAAAAUUAAUCUGAAAUUAAUCUGUUGUCUUAUUAUAUUCUGAUUUUAUCCUUCAAUCUUCUUCUAGAUAUCCAAAUCAUAUCUUUUAUAUCUGAGUUCUUCUUUAUGCAAACCACCAUUUUACUGUGAUGUCCUCAGGGCUCUGAGUUCUCUCCCUUCCUAGAAGCAGCUCGAGGCCAGUUCACUGCUUUCAGCUGUUAUAAAAAAGAAGCUGGAAUUGGGGACUCCCCACUCCAUCUCUUGGGAGCUGCUGUUAAUGUCAGACUGUGUCUCUCUGGGUCUGUGGUGUCGAGGUGACCCCAAGAUUGUAAAAGGCCUUUUUUUCCCAGUCUGUGUAGCCAAAGAAGAAGCUUGAAAUGCAUAGGAUGAGCUUCUCAAGGUUGUUUAUUUUUCCUUAUCUAGAACAUUCUUUCUCUGACCUGCUGAGCUCUGUUUAUCUGGUCGGCCGUGGCAUUCUGUCUGCCCUCAGGGCGGUGUCUACAUUUUAUACUAAAAAUUACGUGUACUAUGUUUACAAUAAUGUGCCAAUAUCUGUCAUUUACAUUAGACAGCGUGUGUCUACCUUCAACCCAUAGAAAAGUGUCACCAUCAUACCAAGACUAGGAGGACAAGGAGGAGAAGAAAGUCAGGGCACACCCAAAUCCCUCCAUCUUGUCCCUUUGAACCCCAUUCUAAAAACCCCAAAAUUCUACUUUUUCAGCCUGUGUUAAUUCAACUACCACACUACUCAAACCCUUGUGGCUUGUAAUUCCUCAUACAAAGUUGGCAGUUUUUCCACAGGCUAAAACUGAAGCCACAGGUGUUUUUGACUCCAUGCCAAGGUCUCUGAGCCCCCUACCAGGGUCUUGAGACAGCCAGGGCAGCCAGAGGGAUGUCCUGGACUCCAACAUGUGUCCCCUGGUCUGAACUCCACUGCAGUUCUUCUGCCACCACAUCAGUGCCUUGGCAUGCCCCCUGUUGAUCCAGACCCUGAUCCAGACCUUCAGAUUCAAUGUCUCAGCCUGGUUUCAUCACCAUGGGCUUGCUGUGGCCCAGAGUCUCACCUAAACCUGGGUGGGGUCAUCAGUGUGUCCUGCUUGCCCUGCUCAGGUGUGAUGGGACUGGCUCCCUGUCCGUGAAGCUCCUGCCUGUGCCAGCCCUGCUCCCAUCCUCAGCUGCCCAGGGAGCAGCUGCCUCUGCUGUUCCUGGCAGAGUCUUCUGGGCCAUUCUUCAUUCAGACUUUUACUUCUGCUGAAAUAGCACUUGGCAGCUACUGUGUGAGAGAUAAAUACAUACAAAAAGCUCUUGCUUCUUUCAUUAGUCUUGAUUUAAAUACUUUAUUUAGAUAGUGUGUAUUGAUGACAGAAGGCUUGGUUUUUCUCUUUAAGUAAUCCUUCAGGAAAUAAAAUGGAGAUUUUAUUCUGUUUUUAAUAGGCAUCUCCCCUGAGUCUAGCAAUUUCCUUUUUAGCACUUUCUAGUGCUUUCCUUCUUUCACAUGCUUUUCCUAAAGUGGCUUUCCUCCUCCAAGUUACAGCUUCUAUUCUUAAAUCAAAAACAUGCCUUUCCAGUCAUUCAAUACUACCUUUACUACUACUUCCUUGCUUACUGGUAUUGACUCCCUGGAGAGAAAUAGUUGAACACAAACAUAAACUAGAAAAGCCUAGUUUUCUUCAGUUGUCACCUGUAUUUACAACUACUUAAAAGUUACUUUUAAGUUACUGCACUCCUAUAAUUGAAAUGUGAAGAUGUACUAUAAGUCCUGGUCUUGCUAGGAACUCUUCAGUUAUUUAAUAUUGUUAUAGAUACUUUUCUAUCAUUUGUUUUUUACUUUUUUCAUAUUUUUACAAUUUUGAUUCUAUUUCAACAACUUCUAUUCCCUUUAAUAUCCAUACAAAAUCUAUAUGCUCACCAACUUACUUUGUUGCAAAAGCUAUUCACUGUCACACCCUCCUAUUCUUUUUUAGCUAUCUUUUAAUUUCAGAUUAAGGACUUACAGAAUCACUGAAUGGUUUGGGUUGGAUGAGACUUUAAAUAUCAUCUAGCUCCAAUCCCCCUGCCAUGGGCAGGGAAAUCUUACACUGGACCAGGUUGCUCAAAGCCCCAUCCAAUCUGACUUUGAAAACUUCCACAGCUUCUCUGAGAAACUUCUGCCAGCACUUCACCACCCUCAGAGUAAGUAAUUUCUUCCUAGUAUUUAAUCUAAACCUGAUCCCCUUCAUCUUAAGACCAUUCCCUGUUGUCCUAUCACGCCAUACCCUUGAAAAAGUCCCUGUCCGGCUUUCUGGCAGCCCCUUUUAGGUACUGGAAGGUGCUUUAAAGUCACCCCAGAGCCUUCUCCAGUCUGAACAGCCUGUCUCCACAGCUCAGAGGUGCUCCAGCCCUCUGAGCAUCUUUGUGGCCUCCUCUGGACUCAUUCCAGCAGGUCCUUAUGCUGGGGGCCCCAGAGCUGGAUCAAUAUUCCAGGUGGGGUCUCACCAGAGCAGAACAGAGGGGCAGAAUCCCCUCCCUCACCUGCUGCCCAGGGUUUGGAUGCAGCCCAGGAUGUGGUUGGGAAUCAGAGCAGUAUGGUCAAAGAAAAUAAAUUACUAUGCCUUCCAGCUAAGGAUAGAUGGCCUCUCACGUAUCUGAAGGAAAUGUGUCAGUAAUACAUUACUGCUAAAAUAAGCAACACAUAGGCAAAAAUGCUCCUUAUCAACUUUGAUGAGAUGUGACAAAAUACAUCAACAUUUCUCUUCUUAAACACUUGUAGAUUUUCCUACAUGUUUUCCAAUAUUGUCAUAAUCUUAAUAUUUUUUAGUAGAUUAUUAUCAAUCUUUCUAAUUUUCCUCUAUCUCUCACUCCUCUUCUUACUGUUGGUGAUCUGGGUUUGCUCUCUCUCAUGAUUUCUUCAUUGAUCCUUUCAAAACUUGUUUUACUUAACAUUGAUGAUAACGCUCUCAAAAAAUAUAUUCAGCAGUCAUAUAGAAUAGAAUAGAAUACUUCAGUUAGUAGGGACCAACAAAAAUGUUCUAGUCAAAAUAAAUGACACAGAAAGUUACCAGUUAACCUUCUAAAAUCUCAAAAUAUGAGAUAAAAUCACAUUCAAUAUCCACAUUAACAACUGCAAGUAAACACUUCUUCUUUCCUUCACUGUAAAUUAAAUUUUUAAUAGCAAUAGAGCAACAUAAGAGCUCUAUUCUUUUCAGACAUAACAUAUUCUUUUCAGAUUCAGGAACAAAUACAGCCCAUCUGAAUGAGGAAGCUGCACAUCUGGAUGUGUAUGACAUGGAAGUGGCUGGAUUUAGCAGCAGGUAUAGAUUCCUUCAUCUCUUCAAGUAACCUGUACCUGAUAGUGAUGACAAAAUCCUGAACAGAAAAACAGAUGUAAUAUAAUAAAAACAACAGAACAAAAGCAUAAAGAAAACAGGCAAAGAUCUCCUUAAAAAUAAUAAAUUUGGGUAAAACCAAAUGAAACUCUAAACCAGUCCAGUUUUACUGGGGAGACGUGGCUCAUUUUACCCAUGUUGAACCAUGUAGAAGUUAGAUCAGCAGUAUAUGAUCUCCCUGUGGUACACAAGCACUUCAGAGAAAUAUUCAUCAUGACAAGCAGCAACAAAAUUGUGUUUAUGAGCUGCCUUCCAUCCAGCAUUGACACAUAAUCUUUUUGCAGAAAUCAUCUCCAUGAUUUGUGCAACUAUACAGCAUAUAUACACCUAUAAAUCUUACCUUUUCCUCAAGGUCUCCAAGCACUCCAGGCUGCCUGGAAAAGGUAUGGGAUUCCCAAGAUUUUUUAAUUAGUUUUGCAGUUGUUUGUUUCUUGUUUUUUGAAGUGGAAGAUUACUGACAAAACCUCCAGCCACUCACGCUUGAUUAUGGAUACAACAUUUAUCUGCCUUAUCCUCAAAUCCUAUUUACCUUGAACUAUAAGAAAAAUGUUGACCAAGCAAAUAUACCAAGCCUGUGGUAUAUUUCUCUUUUAGGUAUAUUUGUAAUUGAUUUUUAUCCAGCCAUGCAAACAUACUUCAAAGCUUCCACCUGACUUUAAAGUGUAAAGUUACAGAUAUGGGCCAAUCCUCUGCUGUUUAUUCCAAAAGAAGUCAGACCCUCUCAGAAAAAAAGAACCUCUCACAAGAAGACUGCUGCACUUCUAUCAGAUGCUCUGGCCUUUUGCUCAAGUCCUGGUAUGUAAGAAAAGCUUUUCAUUAAUGCUCCAGUUUUCCAGAAAGCUUCCCUAUACGCCUGAGCCAACAGGACUCUGGUCUUCUGCCUUGGAUAUCAUCCAAAGCAUUAACAAUGACUGCUGAAAUUUGCUUAAUACCUCAGUAAAUAAACGGGUUUUAUGUUCUACCUCCCAUGGCUGUCAGCCAUCACCUGUGUUACUGCUGCAGCAAUGGGCCAGCAGUAGGAUUUAGCUGCUACCUUGGAAGAAAUGGAUCUGUGAAUAUCUCUUCAGAAAAACAGUUCAUCAGGCUGUCCUCACUUGCAUGGCAGUCUUAACACUGGUUUUACUCUGGGCUUCACUGUGAACUCUCUAUUUCCAUAGCAAAACAGGUUACAUUAAUUCUAAUAAAUGAUUUUAUUAUCUUCUGUUCUUUUACUAAACCAUAUAUUAACUCCAUGAGUUAAUAUAAAUUAACUCAUGAACAGCAUUUUUUCAUAUUAGCAGUAGUGGGUAAGAAAGACAAACUGUUUAGGAUUCCAAAGGAGAACCACAGGAUGAUUUAUUCACACUGAUUAAAUUAAACCCUGAAUCUUGAGUAUCUUUUAUAAUUAACUGUGUGAUUUAUCCACACUGGUCUAUUGGGUUGGUUUUACUGCAUUCAUUUUUUUCACUUGUAUACACUUUAGGUCUAACACAAUAUGUACAUUUUAACAGAUCAGACAAGCCUAAUGUCUCUUUUUAGUUUAGCUUUUCUUUUUCACUUUAAAUUGUGUGGUUUUUCUCAGUUGCUAUGUGAUGUUUGAAAAUCAAUUCAUUAAAAUGCACACUUUUCUCAUGCAACUGCUGCUUCAUAUUUGAGUGGACAUAUUUGAAGGGCUUUUUCAGCUGAGUAGAGCUGUGCCUCCCCAGCAAAGAAGCUAGAAAUGGUUUCCAGCUUGGAAUCACAGACACGUCACGUCUGUCAAUGU